ensembl:ncRNA asRNA:CR45135 antisense RNA:CR45135
AGGCAGCAGCAACAACGCACCACACACUGAAAAUUGCGGACGCGCGAAGCCACUGAAGAAAAACUGACGACUGACGCGACUUUCCGCUGGUGCUCGAAAAAACGAAAGGUUCCCAUAAGCAGAGACCCCGAAGAGCGCCGAGAGAGUUGGAAACGAAGCCGAAGCGAAACCCGAAGAGUACGUGUGCUUUUUGUAUGCUUGGCGCACAGAGUUGCCAAUUCACGACAAAAGAUCGACAAAUUAGGAUGAUGCAGAAGGAGGACACGCUUUUCAUUAUCUGGUUGCCACCUAAUUUAAGUUCCACAUCAAGGAAGAAGGAAAUACGUUUCCAACG